rnacentral:misc_RNA from 1 species
GGUGCCGCUCGUGCUGCCCAUUCUUCUAUCUACUCAAACUAUCACCUCUCUUGUAACUACGGCACUAUUUUUGGGAGAAAUUUCCGGCCAACAUAUCACAUAUCAAAAAAAGAAGAAAAAUACUAACAAAAACCCAAAAAUCACAAACCCAAAUCCAAAUAUUCCCUAUCAAACGGUUAUUUGGUCACUGGUUUUCAUUUCCAACAACAUUAGUUAAGGGUUUUGUUGUUGUUGUUUUUCAUUUCUGGGUUUGUUUGUUUGUUGUGUGAAAUUUGGAGAAUGGCUCAGGUUCAGGUACAACCGCAAUCUCCGGUUUCUGCUCCAAAUGGGGUGGCAAGCAAUGGAGUGAACCAGUUCGUGUCUACCUCGUUGUAUGUUGGGGAUCUUGACCACAAUGUGACUGAAACUCAGCUUUAUGAUUUGUUUAAUCAGAUGGGUCAGGUCGUAUCGAUUCGGGUAUGCAGGGACUUGACCACUAAAAGGUCCCUUGGUUAUGCCUAUGUCAAUUAUAGCAACAUCCAUGAUGCGGCACGGGCAUUAGAGGUAAUGAAUUUCACUCCUGUCAAUGGCAAGCCGAUUAGGAUAAUGUAUUCUCAUCGUGACCCUACUAUUCGUAAAAGUGGUGCGGGAAAUAUAUAUAUCAAGAAUUUGGACAAGGCAAUUGACAACAAAGCUCUACAUGACACAUUUUCCACAUUUGGGAAUAUUUUAUCUUGCAAAGUAGUAACUGAUUCUUCGGGUCAGUCUUUGGGAUAUGGUUUUGUACAAUUUGAUAAUGAGGAGUCUGCUAAAAAUGCAAUUGAUAAAUUGAAUGGCAUGUUACUGAAUGACAAGCUAGUUUAUGUGGGACCUUUCCUCCGCAAACUGGAAAGAGAGUCUGCUAUGGAUAAGACAAAAUUCAAUAAUGUUUAUGUAAAGAAUUUGUCAGAGACAACGACUGAGGAGGAUUUGAAGAAGAUUUUUGGUGAAUAUGGAACUAUUACUAGUGUUGUAGUUAUGAGAGAUGGUGAUGGAAAGUCCAAAUGUUUUGGAUUUGUCAAUUUUGAGAAUCCUGAUGAUGCAGCUCGAUCUGUCGAGGCUCUUAAUGAGAAGACAUUUGAUGAUAAGGAGUGGUAUGUUGGGAAAGCACAGAAAAAAUCUGAAAGAGAAAUGGAAUUAAAAGGGCGUUUUGAGCAAACUUUGAAGGAGACGGUUGACAAAUUUGAAGGAUUGAAUCUAUAUGUUAAGAACCUAGAGGAUAGCAUCACUGACGAUAAACUGAAGGAAUUAUUCUCAGAAUUCGGUGCAAUAACUUCAUGCAAGGUUAUGUGUGACCCAAAUGGUGUAAGUAGAGGAUCAGGCUUUGUGGCCUUCUCAAGUGCUGAAGAAGCAUCUCGAGCUCUCGCAGAGAUGAAUGGUAAAAUGGUAGUUGGCAAGCCAUUGUAUGUUGCACUUGCACAAAGGAAAGAAGAAAGAAAAGCCAGGUUGCAGGCACAGUUUUCACAAAUGCGUCCUCCUGCAAUGGUACCUGCAGUUGGCCCUCGUAUGCCAAUCUAUCCCUCUGGAACUCCAGGGAUUGGACAGCAACUAUUCUAUGGUCAAGGUCCUCCUGCUAUUGUCCCUCCCCAGCAUGGGCUUGGUUAUCAGCAGCAACUGGUUCCUGGAAUGAGGCCAAAUUUUUUUGUUCCAAUGGUCCAACCGAGUCAGCAGGCUCAGCGCCCGGGUGGCCGGAGAUCUGGAGCAGGCCCAGUGCAACCUCAGCAGCCACUUCCCCUGAUGCAGCCACAUGUAUAUUGGGAUUUGAUGUUUGCCCUAAGUUUUUGUUCCUCUGACAUAUCUGAGCUAAUAAUUUAAUUUGUUUGCAUGUAUGUAUGCUUCGAAAUUAUAUAUUAAAAUUUUAAUCUACUUUUAUUUAAUGGUGAAUUACAGAUGCUUCCUAGGGGCCGUGUUUAUCGUUACCCUCCUGGUCGCAACAUGCCUGAUGUUCCCAUAGCUGGUCUUCCUGGGGGCAUGCUUCCUGUUCCUUAUGAUAUGGGGGGAAUGCCAUUUAGAGAUGCUGCAUUUUCACAGCCUAUGCAGGCUGGGGCUUUGGCCACUGCCCUUGCUAAUGCAACACCUGAACAACAGAGGACGGUAAAUUUCUGCUAAGGAAGUCAUAUAUUUUGGCAUUUAUGAAAGAGCACAGAUUGUUGUUACACUGUUGUUUUAGUGUUGAUAUUAUUAUUUGAUAAAAUUCUGUAUUCUUUUUUUCAACUCCAAUAUCUAGAUUUUGAAAUUUGCCCAAGCCACCAUAGAGUAUGUUAACAUUUGAUGGUUUGAAUAUUUGUGCCCUUGUAGUUGCUCGGGGAAAAUUUAUAUCCACUCGUGGACCAGUUGGAGCAUGAUAAUGCUGCUAAGGUGACAGGCAUGCUUCUAGAGAUGGACCAGACUGAGGUUUUGCACUUGCUGGAGUCUCCAGAAGCCCUGAAAGCCAAAGUUGCUGAGGCCAUUGAAGUGCUUAGAAGCGUUCAGCAGCAGCAGGUUAAUAGUCCAACUAAUCGAAUGGCCUCGCUGUCCCUAAAUGACAACCUUGUUUCUUAAGCCUCGCUGUUGCUAUUUUUAGAAUAAUUGCUGAAACUUUUUUUUUUUUAAUUUUUUGAGAGCCUUUAGAACGCUUCUUGAAACUUUGUUUUGAGAGUAUUUUUGGGGUUGCUCCAAAUUUUUGCCUGUUACUUGAGCUUCUAUUCUAGUUGAUACUUAACCUCAGUAUUUCUACUUGUAUGAAAGCUCCGCGCACCUAUUGUUAAGAACAUACAUAAUCUAGGCGAUGAUUUGCACAGAGUUUGGAGGGUUGCUGUUUGCUGUGGAUCGCACCCUGCCCCUUGAUUUCAGUUGGUGUGAUGGCAUCCAAACAUAACCGUCAAAUAAUUCCCAGUCCAUCAUUGGGCUGUUGGAUUACUGAAUUACUCGCUAUGGUUAGAAAUGGUACAGGGCAGGUUGGAUGCAGGGAUUACUCUCUGUUCACAGCAAAUCGAAAUCAAAUUUGAGGUGGGGAAUUUCCCCCACGGGGAGCGAGUCAGAUUUUC